rnacentral:misc_RNA from 1 species
AAAAAAAAAAAAAAAAAUCAGGUUUUAUGUGGUGAAGGGGUAGAGGACAUGAUAGAAAACUUGAAAAUAACCUGAAAUAAAUUUACUUUGACUAAUAUCUAAUUUUAAUUUUAUAUAAGGCAAGCUUCUUUCCUUCAGGUAUAGAUGCAUAAAGAAACUAUGAUGUCGAGAUCCAUGAUCAGUCAUUGGGAGAAAUGCGAAAAGUGAUUGGUUAAAUGUUUACUGUUCUAAUUGAAGUAUUCAAAAGCUCUGGGUGCCACUGUCUGUACUGCUUUUCCUGUUGAAUUACAUAAAUUAAUCAGAACAAAAUUUACUUUCAUCAAAAUACAUGUCUGGGUCAUGCUUGUUCUAUUUUUAUAUCACCGUCAUGGACAAGUGUCCAGGUCAUGGUUCAUUGCAUACUCUACUCAAAAGAAACCACUUAUUUACAUGAAUGUGGACAGCGAGUUGCUGAUUAUUGUCCAUGACACCUGGCAGGAGUUAUAAUGAAUG